UGGCUGAUGCGUCAUUUUCAGUGGCUCCUUUCUCAAAGUCAGCGAGACUCCAGAGAUUUACACAUCUGCUGGAUCAUCUUUCUCCUUAACUUUCAUCAUGCAGUGCUGAGAAAGAAGAAAAAAGAAAAAGAAAAAUCAGCCACAGUCUCUAUCCCAUCAUGCAUCUGUGUCCACAUCUGAGCUACCCUUGAAGGAAGAGUCAUUUGAGAAGCUCUCUGGGCCACAUUGUGCUGACUGGAGGGGCCUGCUGAAGAGAACACACAAGAAGACACAGAAAGACGCAAAGAUGGAGCUGCCCUGGGAAAGAGAAUGAUGGUGUCCCGGGUAUGGUCCAGGCGUGGCUGGAGGUGGGACGCACGCAUGUCAACACCACGGUUCAUCGUUCAGCUUGCUAAAACUAACGUAACAAAAUCCUCACCGAAGUCGAGCGCUCCAUUUACCAUUAUGUCUGUUUCUAGCUGACAUAGCACAGUGUAUUUUCCUUCGGAUUACAGAUUAAACACUCAUCCACUCAC